UGAGGAAUAUUGGUCAAUGGGCGAGAGCCUGAACCAGCCAAGUAGCGUGCAGGAUGACGGCCCUAUGGGUUGUAAACUGCUUUUAUGUGGGGAUAAAGUGCGUGACGUGUCAUGCAUUGCAGGUACCACAUGAAUAAGGACCGGCUAAUUCCGUGCCAGCAGCCGCGGUAAUACGGAAGGUCCGGGCGUUAUCCGGAUUUAUUGGGUUUAAAGGGAGCGUAGGCUGUCUAUUAAGCGUGUUGUGAAAUAUACCGGCUCAACCGGUGGCUUGCAGCGCGAACUGGUCGACUUGAGUAUGCAGGAAGUAGGCGGAAUUCAUGGUGUAGCGGUGAAAUGCUUAGAUAUCAUGACGAACUCCGAAUGCGCAGGCAGCUUACUGUAGCAUAACUGACGCUGAUGCUCGAAAGUGCGGGUAUCAAACAGG
rnacentral:rRNA from 1 species